AACUGUUUGUUUUUGCAAACAAUGGAGCAAAACACUUUGGAUGUUGGAAAUGGUAUCAUUACAUAGUUUGUCCAGCAGGUGACGUCAAGCCUCAAUUAUAUUUCUUUGUCAUAAGUGUUUGAUAAUAAAGUGUUAAGAAUCAUUGCCAUU